rnacentral:rRNA from 1 species
UACAAAGGUUUCUUCGGGCGGGACAAGGAUCAAUCUUCGAGUGUAAAGGCACAAAGGAGUUUGAUCAUUAAAUUCAUUUUUCGAGCAGGGACAAAAGUCGACCUUGAU